rnacentral:ribozyme from 1 species
GGUAGAAUAAAGAACGGAGGGUAGAACAACACCCCGCUGAUGUGGAUAACAUAGGCUCUCCAUAGCCUACUCCGACUCAAUGCGUUCACGGGGUACAGAAUGGUAACAUAUAUAUCUCUCUAAAUAUGUGAACUUGGGUAUGCAUGGAAACCCAUCCCCAUGGGAAGAUGGGCUUUAUAUGGCUAUUCUCCAUGUU